rnacentral:rRNA from 1 species
CAGUAGCCGGCGGGAAUACAGAGGGUGCGAGCGUUAAUCGGAUUUACUGGGCGUAAAGCGUGCGUAGGCGGCUUCUUAAGUCGGAUGUGAAAUCCCUGAGCUUAACUUAGGAAUUGCAUUCGAUACUGGGAAGCUAGAGUAUGGGAGAGGAUGGUAGAAUUCCAGGUGUAGCGGUGAAAUGCGUAGAGAUCUGGAGGAAUACCGAUGGCGAAGGCAGCCAUCUGGCCUAAUACUGACGCUGAGGUACGAAAGCAUGGGGAGCAAACAGGAUUAGAUACCCCCGUAGUCCCUGUCUCUUAUA